CUUCACCGAGCCCAGCCACAGCGGCCGGUCCUCCGGCCGGUCCUGGCCGUAGGUGGCGAGCAGCGCCUGCGCCUC
rnacentral:antisense_RNA from 1 species